rnacentral:rRNA from 1 species
GAUAAACGCUGGCGGCGCACAUAAGACAUGCAAGUCGAACGGAAGUCGUUAUAAAAGGAGAGAAGAUUUAUCGGAUUGAAUUUUAUAACAAUGGCUUUAGUGGCGGACUGGUGAGUAACGCGUAAGGAACCUACCUAUUAGAGGGGAACAACAAUGAGAAAUCAUUGCUAAUACCGCAUAUGCCAUAACUACCGCAUGGUAGAAGUGGGAAAGGAGUAAUCCGCUGAUAGAUGGCCUUGCGUCUGAUUAGUUAGUUGGUGGGGUAACGGCCUACCAAGACGACGAUCAGUAGCCGGACUGAGAGGUUGAACGGCCACAUUGGGACUGAGAUACGGCCCAGACUCCUACGGGAGGCAGCAGUCGGGAAUAUUGCGCAAUGGAGGAAACUCUGACGCAGUGACGCCGCGUGCAGGAAGAAGGUUUUCGGAUUGUAAACUGCUUUAGACAGGGAAGAGAAAGGACAGUACCUGUAGAAUAAGCUCCGGCUAACUACGUGCCAGCACGG